UUGCAAUGCGCCUACUGUGUGGACCUUUAAUAGCAAGAAAGCUGCUUCUGCCCCUUUAAAAACCAAUUUACCUGGACACCUGCUACAGAUUUGACUUCCAAGUUGCACUGCUGCACUGAAGAAAAGCUAUCAUCAGAUGUUUGUCCUUGAAACUGCACCAAACUCUUAAGAAGAAUCCAGGCAGCCUAGAUGAGUCAGCCCUUCAUAUUCAUGCAAGUCUCCAAGCAGAAAAAAAAAAAAAAAGUCAUUUCAGGAAAGAUCUGCUUUUGUCCAAAUGGAGAAUAAUGAAUUCAUCAAACUGAAAAUGCACAAACUAACGGAGCGUUCAGGUUUCAAUGCAUCGCAAUUGGAAAGUGAGCUCCCAUUACUGGGGAAGAUACACAAGCACUGGCUCCUCUAAUCACUUGGUCAUGCUUGGGAGGAAGUUUGUCAGCAGCAUGUUCAUGACGGAGCUAAGGCGAGUGCCAUUCUGUGUCGAUAGGUGGUAGUUUACCUUGGAAGGUAAACUACCACUGCUUCUUGAACCAUCUCUCUCCUCUCCCUUCCUAAAGAGCGGAACAGUUUGAACUUGUUUUUUAUGAUAUCCAUAGGAAUGUUAUAUCCUAUUCCCAGUCUAAUGACUCUGUUGGCUUGAACCUGAUUAGAUUGAAUUGAAGAGUUACUGAACAUUUUCUGUGGGAAUAGGGAAGGUCUAUACAGUUAGCAAAUAUAUGUUUUUUUGGUAAUUUGAUCUGUAAAGUUGCAAAAAAGCUGAAAAUACUGACAGGCACUAGUACCAUAAGCAGUACCAUACACUGUAGGGAUCAAAAAUGAAAGAAAAAUUAAUAGCAAGUUACAUUAUCUCCCUUUAAACCAUGCCAAAUAUCAUUUAAUAUGUUGUUUGAGAGAAAAAUCGUAGGUGUGUUUCACAAGCCAUAUACAAAAGACAAAGCUAAUAAGGAUUAAUUGUACUCAUAAUGAUAAGUUCAGUGCAUUCUACAUGCACUACAUUUGGGAUGCAAGUAGCUGUAUAAUCAGUGGCACAAAUAGCAGGAAUCAGACUGAGGAGCUCUAAUGCUGAUGCAGCCACUAGAUCAAAACAUUAGCCUACUGGCAAAAUAUUUUGCUUCAUUUACUUUCUAUUGAACAUACAGACUGUAGCUUGACUUUUUUUAUUGUGCUUAGAAUAGAUAGCUAUGUCUAGCACUAACAGUACCAUAAACAAUGCUACAAAUAAACUCAGAUUACAAACAACUUUGGCAGCAUGCAUGCUCUUGCUGUUGUUGCAUUUUUUCUUUCCCAAUGUGCAUCUUUGUAUCUUUUCAUUCAAAAUGUCAGCUUUAUUUAUACAGACUAAUUAAGUAAUGUCAUUUCCAACUUUUGAAAAGACUCUAAAAGAAGUAAAUCUUAAGUGAGGUACUGCAAACAUUAUAUCUAGGGGAAUGCAGCAAUAAUUUCUACUUCCUCUGGAACUGUGGCAAAUGUAAUAUUAAAAUCAUUAGCGAUCAAACCAACUUCACUUCAGAAAUUACAAGCAUUCAGAAGCUGACCCAGUGGAUGAUUUUUUUUUGUGCUGGAAUAGUUAAUAAACAUAAUAACAACAAUAGAGAAAGCUAGAGAACCCACAGUAUCUUAAACAAAUAUUCUGAAAAUGCCGAUGAUAUAUAUAACGCAAUUAAUAUUACAAAAAUAUAGAAACAUUUUAUGUGUCUAAAGGCCUCCACACCAGACGCGAUGUGAUUUGUUCUGCGAUAAAAUUGUACUUUCGCUGUGACACUACCUUUUACACCAGUAGUAACAGGCGCGUGCGAUGUAAAGGUAAACGAGUCAUACACACCAGCUAUAUCCAGUUCCCUGGAAAUGGACUGCCAGGUGUUCUCCCUCUUUGCUGUGUCUUUAUCAUUUUUGUGUCCUUUAUUGUACAGCUCUGGGUAUUUUGAUACUGCAAGAAUCAUUUCUUCUGCCAUUGUUUAUUGAAGGCGGGCAAGGGAAGCUGUUCCUCAUUGGUCAGUUCCCAAGCUGCCAUGUGACAAAAUUGCACAAUAGACACCAAUCCAUUUUUUUUUUUUUCGCAUUGCUUCAGUGUCUCCCGUCUCAUCGCAGGCAUUGUGAACGGCUCGUUUCAAAAAUACAUGUUUUGUUUUAUUUGUCAUGGUGCAGUGUGUCAUACUACACAUUUGCUUGUCACAUUGCAUCCAGUGUGUAGAGGCCUUUAGUGUGGCUUACUUUAUGCAGCUUGUUUUGAACAUGCUUGAAUCUCAAUAAACUCUUCCUGGUAAAGCAAUAGGUCCUUCUGGAAAGUGCUGUGUGAUGGCUAAAGAGGCUUUCUAAAUGUCUGAGUGAGUUAUUUCAAAUAACUUUCCUCAUACAGACUAACUGGAACUGGGUAUAGGCCUGUUAUAAGCAGUUAAUAAAAUAGGUUGCUGGGAAAAAAAAAAAAAAA